rnacentral:rRNA from 1 species
UACGUAGGGUGCAAGCGUUGUCCGGAAUCAUUGGGCGUAAAGCGCGUGUAGGCGGCUUGCUACGUCCGCUCUGAAAGCCCGGGGCUCAACCCCGGGAGGCGGGUGGAUACUGGCAAGCUCGAGUCCGGAAGAGGCGAGUGGAAUUCCUGGUGUAGCGGUGAAAUGCGCAGAUAUCAGGAGGAACACCGAUGGCGAAGGCAGCUCGCUGGGACGUGACUGACGCUGAGACGCGAAAGCGUGGGGAGCAAACAGG